rnacentral:rRNA from 1 species
UACGUAGGUGGCAAGCGUUGUCCGGAAUUACUGGGCGUAAAGAGUGUGUAGGCGGUUUCGUAAGUUUGGUGUGAAAUCUCCCGGCUUAACUGGGAGGGUGCGCCGAAAACUGCGAGGCUUGAGUACUGGAGAGGAGAGCGGAAUUCCUGGUGUAGCGGUGAAAUGCGUAGAUAUCAGGAGGAACACCGGUGGUGUAGACGGCUCUCUGGACAGUCACUGACGCUGAGACACGAAAGCGUGGGGAGCAAACAGG